CCUACGGGCGGCAGCAGUGGGGGAUAUUGCACAAUGGGGGGAACCCUGAUGCAGCGACGCCGCGUGGGCGAUGGAGCGUUUCGGUGUGUAAAGCCCUAUCGGCAGGGAAGAAGAUGACGGUACCUGACUAAGAAGCCCCGGCUAACUACGUGCCAGCAGCCGCGGUAAUACGUAGGGGGCAAGCGUUAUCCGGAUUUACUGGGUGUAAAGGGGGCGCAGACGGCAAUGCAAGCCAGAAGUGAAAGGCCGGGGCGCAACCCCUGGACUGCUUUGGAAACUGUAUGGCUGGAGUGCAGGAGGGGCAGGUGGAAUUCCUAGUGUAGCGGUGAAAUGCGUAGAUAUUAGGAGGAACACCAGUGGCGAAGGCGGCCUGCUGGACUAUGACUGACGUUGAGGCCCGAAGGCGUGGGGAGCAAACAGGAUUAGAUACCCGAGUAGUC
rnacentral:rRNA from 1 species